CCUCCAAAUAUUUAAACGUCUAUCUAUUCCACAGGUGUCCGAGGGUGAUGCGGAGCGUGUGCGUGAGCCGUGGCUUGGCGACCCGACCCGAGUG
ensembl:lncRNA